rnacentral:other from 1 species
CACAAAAGGAGGGAGGGAGAGAACGAGAGACAGAACUUCCUACACCUUCAGCAGCGCAGGGCGGAGUGGGGGGCUUGGAGGGGAGAUUGAGGAACGGGGUUCGAGGGGGCACCCACUGCUCGUCCCCUCCUUCGGCGCCUCUCGCCAACCGUCUCCUGCUGUGUGUGUCGGUUGCAGUGUCGGAGGUUGGCGCGGCCCCCGCCCACCGCGCCCCCCACGGGAAGGAAGCAGCCCCCGAACUAAAAAGAGCAGAGCGGAAAGCAGCCCUCAUUCGCCGGCCAGGAGGCGAGCCGAUGCCGAGCUGCACCGCGUCCACCAUG